rnacentral:lncRNA from 1 species
GCCAGAUGUCGGGCUAGCGCCUGCGCAGUGGCGUUGUUUAUGGAGAUGGUGUGCCGGAGGCCGGCGCCAUCUUUUAGGCGUCCGGCUGCCUACACAUUUACAGCACUGGAAUGCAGCUGAUAUCUCUGAAAGCAGAAAGACUGAAGGCUCCUGGGCAGAACAACUGCAGAUGCUAAAAACAGAGCCUUGGAGAAAGAAGGUGGCUAAUGACCCCAGGAAAUCUGUCCCAUCAUCUGGGUCCCUCGAUGAAGCAUCCAAACUCAGCACAGAGAAAAUAAAUGUACAAUGGGGAGAGAAAUCAUUCUCUGUACCACCAUCACCAUGAAGGUUACCAUCAGCACACACUCAAGGAAGAAAACAAGCCUGAAUCCAAAGAAGAUGCAGCUUAAGAUCACUGAACUAUGAAGACAAAUAUCUGAAUGUUUAAACACAUAAAGAAUUUCCCCUUUCAAUCCACAUAGCCUCAUGCUGUCAAGAACUUCGCAGGACUCCUUAUUAAGAGCUGACAGGCUUUGCUUGCAAGCAGGCUUCCCCCAUCUCUAGCAAUACAGAAGGUAUUGGUACAUUCCUAUUUUUCUCCAAACAUAGGAGGAGGAUUGCAACCUACUGACUUCGAACCACCAUGAAAAUGACAGAUUGCUACUUUGUGAUAAUUGUCAUAAGAUUCCAUGCCUGAAACUGAGAUGUUUUCUUCUUCUUUUCCCACUUCUUCUAUUUCAAGUGACCCUAUUAAUGAUAGAUCUCUACUUGAAAUAAUUGGCUAUUCUAAAACUGAGAAAUAAGCACUUUCCUGUCCUCAUUGUUUUUCCUUCUUUAUCUCUAACAGCCCCAGAGGAUCACAAACAUUUGUCCUCAGGGCAAUAUCAGCGGUUAAUGAUUCAUGUUCAAAGUCUGUGAGU